rnacentral:rRNA from 1 species
GAUGAACGCUGGCGAGAUGCUUUAUACAUGCAAGUUGUACGAGAUUUAUUUCAAGUAGCGGACGGGUGAGUAACGCGUAAGAAUUUGCCUUUAGGAGAGGGAUAACAAUUGGAAACUAUUGCUAAUACCUCAUAUGCUUUUGAGUGAAAUGGAUCUUUCCGCCUAAAGAUAAGCUUGCGGCUGAUUAGCUUGUUGGUGAGGUAAUAGCUCACCAAGGCGACGAUCAGUAUCUGGUUUGAGAGGACGAUCAGACACACUGGACUGAGACACGGUCCAGACUCCUACGGGAGGCAGCAGUAGGGAAUUUUCCGCAAUGGGCAAAAAGCCUGACGGAGCAAUCUCGCGUGAGGGAUGACAGCCUAAGGGUUGUAAACCU